GGGCCUGUAGCUCAGCUGGCAGAGCAGUUGACUCUUAAUCAAUUGGUCGCAGGUUCGAUCCCUGCCAGGCCUACCA
rnacentral:tRNA from 1 species